ACGUGCCUGACCCGGAGGCUCCCGCUAUUCCUGCAGGACUGGCUGGCACUGCGUGUUACCCUUGGCAGUCCUGCCCAGAACAGCCUAGUUGCAACAGCAGCACUGAGGGUGAAUGAAGGCUUCCUGGAGGAAGAUGGCUCCAUCCCUCUGUACAGUUCUCACCCCUAGGAAGGGAGAGGGGCUUGGUUCAGAGGCCCCCCCAUGUAAGGGCCUGUAUUUGACUCCGACCUUCCUGUGUCCCUUGCUGCCACAUGGGGAGCCAGCCUGGGUCGGUCGUUCCAGGUGCUGAGCCCAAAAGCCACUGCACCCUCUACCAGCGUUUGGAACUGGCUGUGCCUUGUCUCCUCCUAGCCACUGUCCUUGGGAGGAGAGCCUUUUCCAACUUUCUUCAAAAAAUUAAAUAGUCAUCUGUC